rnacentral:rRNA from 1 species
GAUGAACGCUGGCGGCGUGCCUAAUACAUGCAAGUCGAGCGAACGGACGAGAAGCUUGCUUCUCUGAUGUUAGCGGCGGACGGGUGAGUAACACGUGGAUAACCUACCUAUAAGACUGGGAUAACUUCGGGAAACCGGAGCUAAUACCGGAUGAUAUUUUGAACCGCAUGGUUCAAAAGUGAAAGACGGUCUUGCUGUCACUUAUAGAUGGAUCCGCGCUGCAUUAGCUAGUUGGUAAGGUAACGGCUUACCAAGGCAACGAUGCAUAGCCGACCUGAGAGGGUGAUCGGCCACACUGGAACUGAGACACGGUCCAGAGUCCUACGGGAGGCAGCAGUAGGGAAUCUUCCGCAAUGGGCGAAAGCAUGACGGAGCAACGCCGCGUGAGUGAUGAAGGUCUUCGGAUCGUAAAAAUCUGUUAUUAGGGAAGAACAGAUGUGUAAGUAACUGUGCACAUCUUGACGGUACCGAAUCAGAAAGCCACGGCUAACUACGUG